rnacentral:lncRNA from 1 species
GUGGGGGUGUUCAGCUUAUGCAGGAAGUGAGACUUCAGAACCAAAACACGGCACAUAUUAGUCAUAGCUACAAGUACAGUAAGAAUUUUAAUUCAUUUUAAUCUUUAUCAUCUCCUCACCUAUUGUAGUAUAAUUCAAUUCUCUGUUAGCCAGGUUUGUUUUACUUUCUGUAUUUGAUCAUUCUUAGAGAAAAUUAAACAAACUAGAAGUUAAGUAGCUCUGCAUUUUCGUCUGAUAAUGAGGGAAGAGGGAGUGUAUCAGACCUGCCUGCAACUAUGGUGACACCCAUCUAAGUAUUGGGUCUGCUUACAUCCAACAGAAGAGAACCUUAGACCCAUAUCCACCAGGAGAGGAAGAGGUCCCACCAGCACCCAUUGGAAGAAGGAAUGGGAAGACAGCAAUAUAAGAACACAUUCAACAACAGAAAAACCAACAUGACUCCACAAGAGUCUAGGGGCUCUACACCAGCAAGACCUGAACAUCCCAACACAGAUGAAGCAGAAAAGAAUGGCCUUAAAGACAAAUUCAUGAAGAUGAUAGCAACCAUAAAAGAGGAAAUGAGAAAAUCCUUUAAAGAAAUGGGAGAAAAAAAACAAAACCAAAUCAAAGACAAAACAAAAUUUGCAAGAAACAUUUGAAAGCUGAAAAAUAAAUAAAAAAGAAACACA